rnacentral:lncRNA from 1 species
AUAUAUACAUAAUAUACAAUAUAUACUAAUUACUACAACACAAUAUAUACUAUACUAAUAACUUAGUACACCAUAUAAAACAUAUUCUACACUAUACUAAUGACUACUAUGGAAGAUAUUGAUUAAAAAAAACCCCGUUAGGCCCGCCAGGCCCAGGACCGCAGUAGGCUUAGGCCCGUAGCGGGUCGGUCUCUACCGUGAGGACCGCCAGGCCCGACACACCACGCCCAGGACCGCGAAGCCCGGCCCGUCAUGCCCGGUGCCAGAAUACAGCAUUAACCCCUUCUCCUACACACAAGAGAGAACCUAGCGGAACCCUAAUCCCCCAAAACGACACAGCAAUCAACGAGACCCCUCACCAGCCACACACGACCACCCUCCAACCAUCGACCAUCUCCAUGCCAUCUCUUUCUUCCUCACCUCACAUCAACCUAACACCAACCCUAAAAACCAAUCGUUGCUGGAAAACAGCGACCAGCCACCUAUGGGUGCUUCUUCAUCUUCCCAUUCUCAGCACCAGUCACCAACAGUCCCAGCCGUCACCGCUCUUGUUCAACACCAACCAGUGACAGACCACCAGUGCAAGCAACAACAACUGCUCCCUCAACACCAGAUCGCCGAUCGCCCUCUCUCUCACUCACAACUCUCCUGCCACCAUCCCUUACCGCUAAAAGCUCACCGAAAAAAUAGUAGCAACAGCACUUACCCUUUACAAUGGCACUGGAGCGUGAACUCUCUAUAGGCUAGGUAGAACCAUAAACAUUAGCCUUCCUUAUUUUGCUUUGAUUCUCUGGUCAAAUGGAAAUGGAGUGCAGAUUGAAGUAAACUAGAUUUAUGUGUUGCACGUUUGGAUUGUUUUCUUACUGGGAAAGAUUUAAAGAAGUAAAAUAAUGGUGCUUCAAAGUUUGUGUCCCUCGUCGGUAGCCGUCCGAGGUUCGUGGUUCGUAGAGUAAUUUCGUGUUUCUAUUGUAUUUCGGCUCCCGUUAUGCUGCUGUAAUUAUUUGAGG